CCCACCACCAGCAAAGCCACGCAGCCGCCGUCGGUCAGCAGGUCUGAGCAGUAGGGCGUCGUCCCGUGAGGGCGGACCUGCAAAGACGAUGAAGAUGCAGGAUGUUGCAAAGAGGCUCGUUAAUCCCCCCUCUAAGCUGCUGUCACAUGAGGUCUAAUUGUGAGAGAACAUGAGAACCGAGAGAAUCGUGGUCUCGGCGGUCAUUAAGGAGGUCGUCGGCUAACAGAAAUGCCAUUGAGUGACAGAGGAAGCCAAACACAACCAUGACGAUGGCUGGUAUCAGGAUGGUCCCAAACACAACUGCAGCCAGGCAGGCGUUGAUGGCGGCAAUCACCAAGUUCUGAGCCGUC